AUUGAACGCUGGCGGAAUGCUUUACACAUGCAAGUCGAACGGCAGCACGGGAGCUUGCUCCUGGUGGCGAGUGGCGAACGGGUGAGUAAUGCAUCGGAACGUACCUAUUAGUGGGGGAUAACUAUCCGAAAGGAUAGCUAAUACCGCAUACGUCCUGAGGGAGAAAGCGGGGGAGCGCAAGACCUCGCGCUAAUAUAGCGGCGGAUGUUGGAUUAGCUAGUUGGUGGGGCAAAGGCCUACCAAGGCGACGAUCCAUAGCUGGUCUGAGAGGAUGAUCAGCCACACUGGGACUGAGACACGGCCCAGCCUCCUACGGGAGGCAGCAGUGGGGAAUUUUGGACAAUGGGGGCAACCCUGAUCCAGCCAUUCCGCGUGAGUGAAGAAGGCCUUCGGGUUGUAAAGCUCUUUCGGCAGGAACGAAACGGUGGUUACUAAUACUAGCUACUAAUGACGGUACCUGAAGACGAAGCACCGGCUAACUACGUGCCAGCAGCCGCCGUAA
rnacentral:rRNA from 1 species